GAUCCUGGCUUAGGAUGAACGCUGGCGGCGUGCCUAACACAUGCAAGUCGAGCGGAGAUAAGUUGAAGCCUAGCGAUUCUUAUCUUAGCGGCGGAUGGGUGAGUAACACGUGGGUAACCUGCCCUGUACUGGGGAAUAACAGCUGGAAACGGCUGUUAAUGCCGCAUAUGCGCACGGAGCCGCAUGGCUUUGGGCGGAAAGAUUUAUCGGUACAGGAUGGGCCCGCGCCGGAUUAACUAGUUGGCGGGGUAACGGCCCACCAAGGUGAUGAUCCGUAGCCGACCUGAGAGGGUGACCGGCCACAUUGGGACUGAGACACGGCCCAAACUCCUACGGGAGGCAGCAGUGGGGGAUAUUGCACAAUGGGGGAAACCCUGAUGCAGCGACGCCGCGUGAAGGAUGACGUAUUUCGGUAUGUAAACUUCUAUCAGCGGGGAAGAAGAUGACGGUACCCGACUAAGAAGCCCCGGCUAACUACGUGCCAGCAGCGGC
rnacentral:rRNA from 1 species